rnacentral:rRNA from 1 species
CCCCGCCUGGGGAGUACGGGUGAGGUAACGGCUCACCAAGGCAUCGACGGGUAGCUGGUCUGAGAGGAUGAUCAGCCACACUGGGACUGAGACACGGCCCAGACUCCUACGGGAGGCAGCAGUAGGGAAUAUUGCACAAUGGGCGAAAGCCUGAUGCAGCAACGCCGCGUGCGGGAAGAAGGCCCUAGGGUUGUAAACCGCUUUCAGCAGGGAAGAAAAUGACGGUACCUGCAGAAGAAGGUGCGGCCAACUACGUGCCAGCAGCCGCGGUGACACGUAGGCACCAAGCGUUGUCCGGAUUUAUUGGGCGUAAAGAGCUCGUAGGCGGUUCAGUUAGUCGGGUGUGAAAACUCUGGGCUCAACCCAGAGACGCCACUCGAUACUGCUGUGACUAGAGUGCGGUAGGGGAGCGGGGAAUUCCUAGUGUAGCGGUGAAAUGCGCAGAUAUUAGGAGGAACACCAGUGGCGAAGGCGCCGCUCUGGGCCGUAACUGACGCUGAGGAGCGAAAGCGUGGGUAGCAAACAGGAUUAGAUACCCUGGUAGUCCACGCCGUAAACGUUGGGCACUAGGUGUGGGUCUCAACCAACGAGAUCCGCGCCGUCGCUAACGCAUUAAGUGCCCCGCCUGGGGAGUACGG